UCGAGCCCGUUAAUGGGUGAGAGCGUGCCUUUUGCAGAAUGAACCGGCGAGUUAUGGUAUCGUGCAAGGUUAAGCGGAAAACGUGGAGCCGAAGCGAAAGCGAGUCUUAAUAGGGCGCGAGUACGAUGCUAUAGACCCGAAACCAAGCGAUCUAUUCAUGAGCAGGUUGAAGUAAGGGUGAAACCUUAUGGAGGACCGAACCAACUUCUGAUGCAAUAGGAGUGGAUGACUUGUGAAUAGCGGAGAAAUUCCAGUCGAGCUUGGAAAUAGCUGGUUCUCCCCGAAAUAGGUUUAGGCCUAGCCUUCUAAUUAGCUACCUGGAGGUAAAGCACUGAAUAUGGAAGGGCCGCACCUAGCGGUACUAACUGUAAUCAAACUCUGAAUGCCAGGAUAGUAUGUAGAGGAGUCAGUGUAUGGGUGAUAACGUCCAUACGCGAAAGGAAAUGAAUCCAGACCGUCAGUUAAGGUCCCAAAAUGUAUGCUAAGUGGAAAACGAUGUGGAGCUGCUAGAACAGCUAGGAGGUUGGCUCAGAAGCAGCCACCCUUUAAAGAGUGCGUAAUAGCUCACUAGUCGAGUGGCUCUGCGCGGAAUAUGUACCGGGGCUAAGCAUAAUACCGAAACUGCGGAUUCGUAAUUUAUUACGGAUGGUAGGGGAGCGUUCUAUGGGCGCUGAAGGUAGACCGUGAGGACUACUGGAGCGCAUAGAAGUGAGAAUGCCGGUGUGAGUAACGUAAGGAGGGUGAGAAUCCCUCCCACCGAUCGACUAAGGUUUCCUGGGUAAAGUUCGUCUCCCCAGGGUAAGUCGGGACCUAAGGCGAGGCCGAAAGGCGUAGUCGAUGGACAACAGGUUUAUAUUCCUGUACCACCUAUAUGACUGAUGGAGUGACGGAGAAAGCUAAGCAGGGCCGGUUAUUGGAUUCCGGUCUAAGCACAAAGGUAGAUGAAAUAAGAAAAUCUGUUCAUUGUUAUGCUGAAGUGUGAUGGCGACGAAUUCCUCGGAAUUUUAAGUCUGCUGACGCUAUGCUUCCAAGAAAAGCUUCUAAAGAUAUUAUAUAGGUGCCCGUACCAAGAACCGACACAGGUGGUCAAGGAGAGAAUCCUAAGGUGAGCGAGAUAACUAUGGUUAAGGAACUCGGCAAAAUAACCCCGUAACUUCGGGAGAAGGGGAGGUUUCUUCGGAAACCCGCAGGAAAUAGGUCCAGGCAACUGUUUAGCAAAAACACAGGUCUCUGCUAAAGCGUAAGCUGAUGUAUAGGGGCUGACGCCUGCCCAGUGCUGGAAGGUUAAGAUGAUUUGUUAGGUGGACGAAAGUCGAUAACACCGAAGCUUUGAUUUGAAGCCCCAGUGAACGGCGGCGAUAACUAUAAUCGUCCAAAGGUAGCGAAAUUCCUUGUCAGGUAAGUUCUGACCCGCACGAAAGGCGUAAUGA
rnacentral:rRNA from 1 species